rnacentral:ncRNA from 2 species
UUCUUAUCAAGAGAGGCAGAGGGACUGGCCCUAUGAAGCCUCAGCAACCGGUUCAAAACGAGUGAAGAUCUCGUAACCGUUGAUUUGCGUAUUUUUGAGAA